AGAGAUAGGGCUUUUCCUCCGGGAACGCAAGACAGGUGGUGCAUGGUCGUCGUCAGCUCGUGUCGUGAGAUGUUGGGUUAAGUCCCGCAACGAGCGCAACCCUUGUUACUAGUUGCCAGCAUUAAGUUGGGCACUCUAGUGAGACUGCCGGUGACAAACCGGAGGAAGGUGGGGACGACGUCAGAUCAUCAUGCCCCUUAUGACCUGGGCUACACACGUGCUACAAUGGACGGUACAACGAGUCGCGAACUCGCGAGGGCAAGCAAAUCUCUUAAAACCGUUCUCAGUUCGGACUGCAGGCUGCAACUCGCCUGCACGAAGUCGGAAUCGCUAGUAAUCGCGGAUCAGCAUGCCCGCGGUGAAUACGUUCCCGGGUCUUGUACACAC
rnacentral:rRNA from 2 species